rnacentral:rRNA from 1 species
UACGGGGGGGCAAGCGUUGUUCGGAAUUACUGGGCGUAAAGGAUGCGUAGGCGGGUUUUUAAGUCAGGGGUGAAAUCCUGGAGCUCAACUCCAGAACUGCCUUUGAUACUGGAGUCUUGAGUUCGGGAGAGGUGAGUGGAACUGCGAGUGUAGAGGUGAAAUUCGUAGAUAUUCGCAAGAACACCAGUGGCGAAGGCGGCUCACUGGCCCGGUACUGACGCUGAGGCACGAAAGCGUGGGGAGCAAACAGG